rnacentral:tmRNA from 1 species
GGGGUCGACUGGUUUUGAACCGAAUGAAACUAAUAAUUAUCAGCCAGAGAGAUAACUGUAAACUAAGGUGAAUUUAUUUAAACGGAAACGAUACAGAUAAUACCCAAUUAAAAGCUAAUAUGACUGUUGUUCACAACAUUCUUAAUGGAUCAGAUGCCUUAAUUGGUAGCUCAGUACAGAAAUUAGCAAUGGUAGCAUAAACCAAUAGACGAAAAAAGGUUAAUAGUAGUCAUAUGCAUAAACUUAUACCAGUAACCUUGAAAGACCCGAAAUAUAGGGGAUUUGCAUGACAUUUAUAUGUUCGCUAGUCUUAAACAUCCAUAUGGUGCCCUAUGUAGUGAAGCUGUAGUAUAAGUUUAAUUAUUUUUUAAUUAUAAAUCUAGCGUAAAGAGUAUAAACAAACGUGAAGCUGUAUAGUAUAAUUAUUAACUUAAUUUGUGUGACGGGGGUUCGAAUCCCCCCGACUCCACUG